UACAGAGGUCCCAAGCGUUGUUCGGAUUCACUGGGCGUAAAGGGUGCGUAGGCGGUCGGGUAAGUCUGAUGUGAAAUCUCACAGCUUAACUGUGAAACUGCAUUGGAUACUAUCCGGCUCGAGGAAUGGAGGGGAGACUGGAAUACUUGGUGUAGCAGUGAAGUGCGUAGAUAUCAAGAGGAACACCAGUGGCGAAGGCGAGUCCCUGGACAACUUCUGACGCUGAGGCACGAAAGCUAGGGGAGCAAACAGG
rnacentral:rRNA from 1 species